rnacentral:rRNA from 1 species
GACGAACGCUGGCGGCGUGCUUAACACAUGCAAGUCGAGCGGGGUUUAUCGGAUUAGCUUGCUAAACUGAUAAACCUAGCGGCGGACGGGUGAGUAACGCGUGAGCAAUCUGCCUCAUACAGGGGGAUAACAGGUGGAAACACCUGCUAAUACCGCAUAAGACUCCACUACCGCAUGGUAGAGAAGUCAAAGGGCUUACCGGUAUGAGAUGAGCUCGCGUCCCAUUAGCUAGUUGGUAGGGUAAAGGCCUACCAAGGCGACGAUGGGUAGCCGACCUGAGAGGGUGAUCGGCCACACUGGGACUGAGACACGGCCCAGACUCCUACGGGAGGCAGCAGUGGGGAAUAUUGCACAAUGGAGGGAACUCUGAUGCAGCAACCCCGCGUGAGUGAAGAAGGUUUCGGAUCGUAAAACUCUGUCAUUGGGGAAGAAUAAAUGACGGUACCCCAUGAGGAAGCCCCGCUAACUACGUGCCAGCAGCCGCGGUAAUACGUAAGGGGCGAGCGUUGUCCGNAUACUGGGCGUAAAAGG